CCUGGAUCCCGGGGCCGAGGGAACCUCACCAGUUUCAGAGUUUGGCCACUUGGGCCAGCUCCCUCCCUGACCCUACCUGUCAGAUAAUCGGAAAUCCAGGAGCGGGGCGGAGGCCGCCCAGGGGCUAUAAACCCGUUAAAGCCUGUCUGGGUAUCUGCUCCUCUCACACCCCUGCUUUUGGCCUCUCAUCAAGUACCACACUGACAUCUGCGGAUGCCGCCCCAGGCCUGUGUCAUCUCUCCGGCGGAGCGCGAGGUGCCAUCGGCACCCCCAUUUCGCAGCCAUACAGCAUGACACACAGAAGCUUACUCCCUGACCAGAGAUUGAACCCGAGCCCCCCAGCACGGAAGCUCAGAGUUCUAACCACUGGACCACCAGUAAAUUCCCUUGUCACUAAGUCCGGUCUGACUCUUUGCAACCCCAUGGAUGGUAGCCCACCAGGCCUCCUCUGUCCGUGGGAUUUCCAGGCAAGAAUGCCUUGCCCAGGCAAGAAUGCUGGAGUGGGCUGCAUCAUUGCUUAUAUCUAAAAAGGAAGACACAGUGAGAGACUGGCUGUCUGCAAGCCAGGAAACACCGCCUCACCAGGGAACUGAAUCAACCAGCCCCUUGCUCUUGGACUUUUCAGCCUCCAGGACUGUGAGAAAUAAAUUCCUUUUGGUUUAAGCCUCCCAGAUUUGGUAUUUCAUUAUGAUAGCCUGAACCGACUAAGACACUGGUCCUUAUUUCGUUCUACAGCAGGUUUUGGUCACUUUUAUUGUAUAUUAAUGGGCAUCAGAGAAGGAC
ensembl:lncRNA